rnacentral:misc_RNA from 1 species
GAUGAAGAACGUAGUGAAAUGCGAUAAGUAAUGUGAAUUGCAGAAUUCAGUGAAUCAUCGAAUCUUUGAACGCACAUUGCGCCCGCCAGUAUUCUGGCGGGCAUGCCUGUUCGAGCGUCAUUUCAACCAUCAAGCCCCCGGCUUGUGUUGGGGACCUGCGGCUGCCGCAGGCCCUGAAAACCAGUGGCGGGCUCGCUGUCACACCGAGCGUAGUAGAUUUUCAUCUCGCUCAGGGCGUGCUGCGGGUUCCGGCCGUAAAAAGCCUUAUUUACCCAAGGUUGACCUCGGAUCAGGUAGGAAGACCCGCUGAACUUAAGCGUAUCAAUAAGCGGAGGA